rnacentral:lncRNA from 1 species
AUAUUUAAGGCAGAGCUUACUUGGAUAAUCAAGAAAAAAUUGCUCUUAAUCUAUAUAUGAAUUAGAAAGAGGAAUUUAAUUGGUAAAGGGAUGUAACAUCAGGCAAACAUUGUAUCAAUAACCCUCUGCUGAAUUCAUUUGAAUGAAAUGAUAAGGGAGCUACCAUUUGAUUUUUAUGGGAGAGCUAGGAUGAAAUUUGAAAAAAAUAGGCAGGACAGGAGUUUUGAGUAAAAAAAAAAGGCAGGAUGAGACACUUGCAAAAAAAAAAGUCAGGACGACAAUUUAGGUAAAAAAAAGGCAGGACCGAACAGAGUGAAAAAUAAAAAGGCAGGACAGAGAUUACAGCUAAAAAAAAUGCAGGACAAAAUUUUUCAUCCUAGCCCCCCCAUAAAAAUCAAAUGGUAGCUCCGUAA